rnacentral:tRNA from 1 species
GAGGGUGUAGCUUAAGUGGUAGAGCGCAUGCCUAGCAUGCACGAGAUCCUGGGUUCAAUCCCCAGUCCCUCC